rnacentral:piRNA from 1 species
UCGAUAUGAUGGCACUACAAG